UGCCUUGCCAACGACACUUUGGACCUCACCACUCGAUUUCGAUUGUCAGUAUGUCUAACUAAAUGCUUCGAUCCAGCUUAAAAGCAGACACUCCGUUCUCGCUGAGUUUAUAGAAUGGUGAAUAUGUACUGCGGCAAUGUCUACGCUCGGGUAGGCAAUGUAGUGGCAUAUUUAGGAUGCCUAUGCAGAAUUAUACCUCAGUCCGGGUGUGACGGUUAAUUUCAUAAAGGCUGCAAUAAUCCACUACUGCGUACGCCUUAACAUCAAAUCGGUUGUGGCUUAGGUGAGGACGCCAGUCGUACUGCUACUCUCGUGUUGUAUUUUGAGGACGUAGUGAUGGCGGGAUAAAAUGAAGGACGUAAGGAGAAGAGCUCCAGUCAACACGAGAUCGCGCUUCGGAUUGGAGUGAGGGAUUGAGGAGCUAGAGGAUGUAACUGGUUACCUGGCCGCAACCUGAGCUGCCUUUCCCCGCAUUCAGGAGAAGGUGGAACGAUGGAAAGGGACCACGCCACAGGUAACCGUAUUGGACCUGCCGACUACCGCUCUAUAUUCCUAAUCGACUUUUGUUUAGGAUCUUUGGGAGACCAUUGACCGUUGCGGUGAACGUCUUGGAGCAGCUACCAUUCAUCUCAUCCACUCAAUUCUGCUUUCAUUUCAUUUCAAUUAAACCUUCGUGGGCUCAACUUUUCCAAGGAGUCACCGAUGCAGUUGAGAAUUAGCAAGUCUAUCUCUUUAUAUAGCAGUCUUUAAUUGUUUAUUUUACCAAGUCUCCCUUUAUGCGUUAAAAUGUCUAGGUUAAGCGUCGAACGUAGUGGUUCAGGCAACAUCUUUCAGAACGAACAUCGAUGGGAGGAGCUCAGCAUUCGAACAUCUCCCGGGCUAACGCUUGAUCCCGUGUUUAUCGAUUUUUAUAAAUGCCAUUCAGCUAAAAAAUCUAGACAAUGGUAACUCGACAAUGUUAUUUAGCAGUUGCUUAUAGGAUGGCACUGCGAUUAGCCAGACGCUACACAAUUUCCGUAUGAGGAGUCGGUUAUCGGAGAACGACACUUGAAAAUCAAAGUUUGGCAUGUGUGAUG